AUGGCGAUUUCUGGAUUGGGCUCAGGAGGCGUGAGGACCAACAAAGCAAUGGCACAGCCUGCCAGGACCUUUAUGCCUGGAUCGAUGGAAGCACAGCAGCAUUUAGAUAAGCCAACAGUUCCUUCUACAAGGACUGGAGGUGAAGAGACAGAGCCAGCAACACCCAUCCUUCCAGAAGACACAGAGAAAGAAGAUACCACAGAAAUACUGAAAGAAAGCAAAGAAGCUGCCUUGAAUCUUGCCUACAUCCUAAUCCCCAGCAUUCUCCUCCUCCUCCUUGUGGUCACCACAGGUGUAUGUUGGGUUUGGAUCUGUAGAAGGAGGAAACGGGGGCAGCCGGACCCCAGCACUAAGGAGCAGCGCCCCACCUGGCCGGCUCUGCAGCCCGGGAACAGCCCGGACCUGGAGGUUUACAACGUCAUACGAAAGCAGAGCGAAGCUGAUCUGGCCGAGACCCGCCCGGACCUAAAGAACAUCUCGUUCCGAGCGCGCUCGGGAGAGGCCACGCCCGACGCCGUGUCUUGUGACUAUGAAAACGUGGCCGUGAACCCGUCUGAGAGCGGGUUCGUGACGCUGGCGAGCAUGGAGAGUGGCUUCGUCACCAACGACGUUUACGAGUUCUCCCCGGGCCGAGCGGGGAGGAGCAAGGAGUCCGGAUGGGUGGAAAAUGAAAUCUAUGGUUAUUAG
rnacentral:lncRNA from 1 species